AACAGACAGCAGGCACAGCAUGGGAUACAGGUAAGGACAGACAGCAGGCAGCAUGGGAUACAGGUAAGAACUGACAGCAGGCAGUAUGGGAUACAGGUAAGAACAGACAGCCGGCACAGCAUGGGAUACAGGUAAGAGAAGACAGCCGACACAGCAUUGGAUACAGGUUAGAACAGACAGCCGGCACAGCAUGGGAUACAGGUAAGAACAGACAGCCG